GACGAACGCUGGCGGCGUGCCUAAUACAUGCAAGUAGAACGCACAGUUUAUACCGUAGCUUGCUACACCAUAGACUGUGAGUUGCGAACGGGUGAGUAACGCGUAGGUAACCUGCCUGGUAGCGGGGGAUAACUAUUGGAAACGAUAGCUACUACCGCAUAAUAUUAAUUAUUGCAUGAUAAUUGAUUGAAAGAUGCAACUGCAUCACUACCAGAUGUACCUGCGUUGUAUUAGCUAGUAGGUGAGGUAACGGCUCACCUAGGCGACGAUACAUAGCCGACCUGAGAGGGUGAUCGGGCACACUGGGACUGAGACACGGCCCAGACUUCUAAGGGAGGCAGCAGGAGGGAAUCUUCGGCAAUGGACGAAAGUCUGACUGAGCAACGCCGCGUGAGUGAAGAAGGGUUUCGGAUCGUAAAGCUCUGUUGUAAGAGAAGAACGGGUGUGAGAGUGGAAAGUUCACACUGUGACGGUAUCUUACCAGAAAGGGACGGCUAACUACGUG
rnacentral:rRNA from 1 species